UGCAAGUCGAACGAAGUAGCAAUACUUAGUGGCAGACGGGUGAGUAACAUGUAGGUAUCUACCCUUUGGCCUGGAAUAACACGAGGAAACUUGUGCUAAUACCGGAUAAGUCUUUACGGAGAAAGCUUUAUGCACCAUUGGAUGAGCCUGCACUUGAUUAGUUUGUUGGUGGGGUAAUGGCCUACCAAGACUGUGAUCAAUAGCUGAUUUGAGAGGAUGAUCAGCCACAUUGGGACUGAGACACGGCCCAAACUCCUACGGGAGGCAGCAGUGGGGAAUCUUGCACAAUGGAGGAAACUCUGAUGCAGCGAUGCCGCGUGAGUGAAGAAGGCCUUUGGGUUGUAAAGCUCUUUCGUCGGGGAAGAAAAUGACUGUACCCGAAUAAGAAGGUCCGGCUAACUUCGUGCCAGCAGCCGCGGUAAUACGAAGGGACCUAGCGUAGUUCGGAAUUACUGGGCUUAAAGAGUUCGUAGGUGGUUGAAAAAGUUGGUGGUGAAAUCCCAGAGCUUAACUCUGGAACUGCCAUCAAAACUUUUCAGCUAGAGUUUGAUAGAGGAAAGCAGAAUUUCUAGUGUAGAGGUGAAAUUCGUAGAUAUUAGAAAGAAUACCAAUUGCGAAGGCAGCUUUCUGGAUCAUUACUGACACUGAGGAACGAAAGCAUGGGUAGCGAAGAGGAUUAGAUACCCUCGUAGUCCAUGCCGUAAACGAUGUGUGUUAGACGUUGGAAAUUUAUUUUCAGUGUCGCAGCGAAAGCGAUAAACACACCGCCUGGGGAGUACGACCGCAAGGUUAAAACUCAAAUGAAUUGACGGGGACCCGCACAAGUAGUGGAGCAUGUGGUUUAAUUCGAAGAUACGCGCAGAACCUUACCAACACUUGACAUGUUCGUCGCGACUUUAAGAGAUUAAAGUUUUCGGUUCGGCCGGACGAAACACAGGUGCUGCAUGGCUGUCGUCAGCUCG
rnacentral:rRNA from 1 species